rnacentral:lncRNA from 1 species
AUUCCAAGGGCCAGGUUUUCUUGGAUCAAAGUCCAACUGCAGGAAGGAACAUGUCUAUACCAAAAGGCAAGCAAAUGGUUGGAAAUAAAAGUGGUUCUGAGGAUGGGGCCUGUAGCUGAUGGUACGUGGACCAUCUUGUCACCGCACCAAGCCUCCAUCUCCACAGCCUACACCGUCCUUGCCAAAUGGCCAAGAUCUCCAUACCCCAGGUCCUAGCAACUCUGAUCACACCUCACCGACUUCAGCAAAGUCCUGUGAUUCCUCCACACCUAUGAUGAACCUACCAGCUUCACACCCAUGAUGAGAUCUGAAAGUCAGGCUUCUUAUCAAUCAGGUGCUGGGCAGAAAUGGAAGUUGAUGAUGAUGCACCUGCCCAUCUUUCUCCAAGUUCCUCUGACAGCUGUCCCAGAAGAGCAUCAAAACACGGAUGACCUGGGAGUCUACACCCUAGGCGACCUUGAGUUCAGUGAACUGUUGGCUAAGGAGAGUUCCUUAGGACACCUGGCUGCCUGUUUCAGUAAAGGGACAGGGGAUGGAAAGGCUAGCAUGACAUAUGCCAUGUUUUUUUGGGUGACUCUGGUUGGUGACAUGAACUGCUUCUGCCAAGCGAUCAAGAGGAGAAACUGUUGAAAACCCUUGCUGUGUGUGAGAUUUGGUCUGCUUUUCUCUGGAAUCUUGGAAGCCCUGUCUGUGUGGAAACACAUCCCAGGAAGCAGAGACAACUGGGUGUAGCAAGAAUGUAAAUUAGAGCAAGAUGCAUCAAAGAAAACAUAUCUUCAGACUCGUGUGGGUUUCUUUUUAAUUGGAAUUUAUAAUUGCACCUAAUUAUAGGACAUAUUUUACAUGUUCCCUUUGAGAGGCUGAGAGGGGGUGGAGCCCUGUCCACUCCAGUCACAGGAGC